GGCAGCAGUGGGGAAUUUUGGACAAUGGGCGCAAGCCUGAUCCAGCCAUGCCGCGUGAGUGAAGAAGGCCUUCGGGUUGUAAAGCUCUUUCAGCCGGAAAGAAAACGCACGGGUUAAUACCCUGUGUGGAUGACGGUACCGGAAGAAGAAGCACCGGCUAACUACGUGCCAGCAGCCGCGGUAAUACGUAGGGUGCGAGCGUUAAUCGGAAUUACUGGGCGUAAAGCGUGCGCAGGCGGUUUCGUAAGACAGAUGUGAAAUCCCCGGGCUUAACCUGGGAACUGCAUUUGUGACUGCGAGACUAGAGUGCGGCAGAGGGGGGUAGAAUUCCACGUGUAGCAGUGAAAUGCGUAGAUAUGUGGAGGAAUACCGAUGGCGAAGGCAGCCCCCUGGGUCGACACUGACGCUCAUGCACGAAAGCGUGGGGAGCAAACAGGAUUAGAUACCCCUGGUAGUCCACGCCCUAAACGAUGUCAACUAGGUGUUGGGGGAGGAGACUUCCUUAGUACCG
rnacentral:rRNA from 1 species